rnacentral:rRNA from 1 species
UACGAAGGGUGCGAGCGUUAAUCGGAAUUACUGGGCGUAAAGCGUGCGCAGGCGGUUUUGUAAGCCAGAUGUGAAAUCCCGGGGCUUAACCUGGGAAUGGCAUUUGGGACUGCAAGGCUGGAGUGUGGCAGAGGAGACUGGAAUUCCUGGUGUAGCAGUGAAAUGCGUAGAUAUCGUAAGGAAGACCAGUGGCGAAGGCGGGUCUCUGGACAGUUCCUGACGCUGAGGCACGAAGGCCAGGGGAGCAAACGGG